UUAGCUAUUUUAGAUAGGUUUGUGUUCAUCAAGGUAUGGAUACAAACAACCCAAGUUUGUAUCUAUGAUGGCUAAGGAAAUUUAGAUUGAUUUCAAAACCCACAUAGAUCUUAAGAAAAUCUAUAGUGGUGUUUUACAUAUACUGUAUAUUAAG
rnacentral:ncRNA from 1 species